rnacentral:rRNA from 1 species
GACAGAGGGUGCAAACGUUGUUCGGAAUUACUGGGCGUAAAGCGUGCGCAGGCGGCCUUGCAAGUCGGGCGUGAAAUCUCCGAGCUUAACUCGGAAAGGUCAACUGAUACUGCGGGGCUAGAGUGCGGAAGGGGCAACUGGAAUUCUUGGUGUAGCGGUGAAAUGCGUAGAUAUCAAGAGGAACACCUGCGGCGAAGGCGGAUCUCUGGGCCGAUACUGACGCUGAGGAGCGAAAGCGUGGGGAGCGAACAGG